rnacentral:lncRNA from 1 species
GAUUAUAAAAAACGCAUUUUAUUAAACUAAAAAUUUUAGACGCUAAUGGGUAAAAUACAACUAAACAUUAUUUUUUCGGAAAAUUGAAGAUGCAUCAUAAAGCAUUAAAAUACAAUUAUAAUGAUCAUCAAAUCCGAAUGAAUUAUAGUUGUUUUCUCCUUUUUUUGGGAUCUUUGCUUCCACUGAUUAUGUUGAGUACACCAAACAAAUUCUCUUGAAAAUUCUUCAUAUUUGUACUUCCUUGGAUCACCAUCCAUCCAACUUUGCAAUUUAGAUCUUGAAUUUGUAGAUAGAAAUGUAACGUCUUCUCUAACAUCGUCUACAACAAAACAACCAAUAUAACAACUAAAUAUAAAAUUUUAAUGAAUAAUCAAUCUAAAAUUUAAACAAAAAUUAAAAUACCUAAACCAUAAGGUGAUGUAACCAUAGACAAAGGUGCGGUAUUCUUUGACAUUACCUUCCAAACAAGCCCUACACGAACAGGAAAACGGAAAUUAGAGGAUGAUGAAUAAAAGGAAGAACAAAGUUCAGUAUAUCAUCCAUCGAAUUGCUUUCCAUCCAAUUUUGCAAUUUAGAUCUUGAAUCUGUAGAUAGCAAUGUAACGUCUUCUCUAACAUCGUAUACAACAAAACAACCAAUAUAACAACUAAAUAUAUAAUUUUAAUGAAUAAUCAAUCUAAAAUUUAAACAAAAAUUAAAAUACCUAAACCAUAAGGUGAUGUAACCAUAGACAAAGGUGCGGUAUUCUUUGACAUUACCUUCCAAACAACCCCUACACGAACAGGAAAACGGAAAUUAGAGGAUGAUGAAUAAAAGGAAGAACA